UACAGGAAAGGGCCAGGGACAAAAAAAAGUUGAAAAACAAGCUGGGAUCAAAAUCGAAAGAGAAGAAGGAUCACAAAAACCUUCGCAUUGGGUCCAAAAUACUAUACUCCUUCCUUCCUUCCAAAGUCACCCAGCCAAGAAGCCACACUCACAUUCUCACAACAACAAAAUCUCUCUCUCUCUCUCUCAAUCAUUUUCUCACUCUCUCAGAUUCUCUCUCUCCCCGCCAUUGCCAAUGCCGGCCUCUCCUGCUCCGCCGCCACCGCUCUAGCCGGAGAUUCCUCGCCGGAGAUUCUCGCGGCGGAUUUUUCUAGGGUUUUCUGACUGUUCGUUAUUCGUGCUCCGCUGCAUCGCGCCGUCAUGCCUCCGCCGCGCCGACGCGGAGCGAACAAGGCCAAGGCCAAUGGCAACUUGAGUUUGGGCGAUCUCGUGCUCGCUAAGGUUAAGGGAUUCCCGUUUUGGCCUGCCAAGAUAAGCAGGCCCGAAGAUCGGGAGAAAACCCCUGAUCCAAAGAAAUAUUUUGUUCAAUUUUAUGGGACCAAGGAAAUAGCUUUUGUUGCCCCUGCGGAUAUUCAGGCAUUCACCAUUGAGGCUAAAACUAAGUUGUCUGCUCGGUGUCAAGGAAAGACAAAAUACUUUACUAAAGCCGUGAAGGAAAUCUGCUCAGCAUUUGAGGAGUUGGAGAAACAGAAAGCUAGUGGUUUGAAAGAGGACACUGAUGAUUCACAUAUUGGUUCAAGAACUCCUUCCGUUGAUGGGGUAGUGGGUCACUUGAAGGAUGCUACUGAUGCUGUGGUAUUCAACAUUGAAAAUGCUAACACAUGUGUGGGAGAUGUUGGCUCUAAUUUGGAGCAAAGUACACAGAGAUUUGAACAAAGUGGUAACCAAGUUGAAAAGCCUUCUGUAUCUGGCCAUCCAAAUGACAGUUCAUCUCCAGUCUUGUUGCCAGUGAUUGAAAUUAAACCAUCAAUUGGUGCAGCAGAACUUAAUAAGUGUACUAGCAAAUCUGACCUGGACGAACAAUCAUGUCUGAAAGUGGAAGUUUCUAAUAUUAAGGAUGUUGGCAAUGUUCAUGACUUAAAGCAAGCUGAUAAUGAACAGAGUGUUUAUACAAAUGGGAACAGGUCAAGAAAGCUUGUUACUGGCUCAAAGAGAAGCAAAGGUGCAGAUGAUAGAAAAAGAAGCGGUGAAAUUAGUAGAGUAUCUUCAAAGGAUGAAAAUUGUGCAGUUUAUACUAGUCUUUCCAGGUCUGGAGAGACAGUGAAAGAUGGGAAAAAAGAGAAAAAUGCAUUUUCUGUUAAAUCAAAUUCUGCAGAUGCUCUUAAAUCAGACUCUGAUAUUAACAGGGUAAGUAAAGAAAAGAACUUUCUGAAAGUUAAAACUAGUCUUAAAGUUAAAAAUGAGUUGCAGGAGAGCUUUGUUGGUUCUGAGGAUGAGAGAAAAAAAUCUUUUAAGCAAAACAAAAAUCAACUUCAUGGAAAACGUAAUUUGGGAACAAAUGAAACUUUACAUGCUACCAAGAAGUUGAAGUGUAUGGAUAUCAAAGACAAUAAAACUUUAAAAUCUCUCUCGGAAGGUGGGAAGAGUGAUUCACCUAGCUCUCCUGUUGUUGAUGACAAAGAAUUCAAACAAAUAGAGUUGAAAAGGUCUACAUCACGAUUGAAAACAGAGAAAGGUUUGCCAUCAAGGGUUCAGACUAGUGUUGUAGGUUCUGAUGAUUCUGUUUGUGACCAGCAAGCUAUGCCUGAUUCUACUAGCAUUGCUUGUGAACAAACACAAAUGAGUUCUCUUAGACUGAAAGGUGACACAAAUAAUCUUACAAUUAAACAAGUACAGAGGAGACGUAGAGCUGUUUGCCUUGUUGAUUAUGAUGAUGAUGAUGACCACAAUUCUCCUGUUCACAGAGGAGCUGCUGAAGAUAUUAAAUCUCCUUUUGUUUCAGAGGUUUUGAAGAACAAUGAUGCAUUCCUAGAGAACACUGAUGCUGCUCAGUUGGAUACCAGAAAACCUAGUGCACUUGAGGAUAGCCAUUUUAAAGAACCCUCUUCUGAAUUAUGUAAUGACAAUUUGCAAGUUGGACAUCCUCAAAAAGAGGCUGAAGAAGUUAUUCCUUUCCAUUUACCUCAUAGUCCUAGGAAAUUAGAUUCAAAGCUAUUUUCUCCAAAGGUGGAAAAAUUGAGCUCCACCUCUCUGGUAGAUUCACCUCAUUCAGUUCCUACAACAAAGUCAAAUGCUGAGCAACAUAAAUUUUCCAAACGUAUGCUUCAAGUUUCCAGUAAUUCUACUCAAAAGAAGGCUGAUAAUGGAUCUUCAAAGAAUGUAAAUAGCAUCAGCUCUUCACAGUGUCAGGUCACUACUCAUAAAAAGAAGCCUGCAUCUUCAGGGGAAACUUCUAAAACCACUCCAAAGACAUUACCACUGGAAGUUGAAUUUCCUGCUAAAACAGAAAAUUUAAAGGAAUUUGAUGUUUUUUGUGUUCAUAGAAUUGAGGUGGGCACAGAAGAAGAAAAUAGUCUGUAUACUGUUUCUAGGACUCCAGAAACUCCGAAGACUAUGAAGCAUCUUAUUGCGGCUGCCCAGGCGAAAAGGAGACAAGUAGCUCAAUCUCAAUGUCAUCCUCUUGAUCUUUACAAUACUCAAGGGGGAACUCCUAGCCCCUCUACAGUUCAGCCAUUUCUAUCCGUCUCCAGCAAUUUUGGCCAGGCAGAUUGGCCAAUUGUUCAUGAACACCCAACAUUGGCUUCUCCAUCAACUAAUGGGUAUCAUUCCACUUCUCAAAGUCAACUUGAUGAUGAAGAAAACGAAGAGAAAAGAGUUAAUUCAGUGCAAAGGGCUGUAGAGGGCUCUCUGAGUGGUGGUACUGAGGCUGCUGUUGCUCGUGAUGCCUUUGAAGGAAUGAUAGAGACUUUGUCUAGGACCAAGGAAAGUAUUGGGCGUGCAACACGUCUUGCCAUUGAUUGUGCCAAAUAUGGCAUUGCCAAUGAGGUUGUUGAACUUCUUAUCCGAAAGCUGGAGAUUGAAACUAGUUUUCAUCGUAAAGUGGAUUUAUUUUUUCUUGUUGAUUCCAUCACCCAAUGCUCACAUAAUCAAAAAGGCAUUGCGGGAGCCUCCUACAUCCCUACCGUUCAAGGAGGGCUGUCACGACUUCUUGGUGCGGCUGCUCCCCCAGGGGUUAGUGCUCGUGAAAAUCGUCGUCAAUGUCUCAAGGUUUUAAGGCUGUGGCUCGAGAGGAAAAUUUUUCCUGAAUCAGUUCUUCGCCGUUACAUGGAUGAAAUUGGAGUUUCAAAUGAUGAUAUGACAGUUAGUUUUUCUUUCAGGCGUCCUUCCCGAGCAGAACGGUCUUUGGAUGACCCAAUUAGAGAAAUGGAAGGCAUGCUUGUUGAUGAGUAUGGAAGUAAUGCUUCAUUUCAGCUGCCUGGAUUGUUAUCUUCUCUGGUGUUUGAAGAAGAUGAAGAUGAUGAUUUUCUGAAUAAUGCAUCUCCAGCAGAUCCCACUCGCACUGUUGUGGAUUCAGAAACUUCAACAGUUACCCCAACUGACAAGCGCCAUUGUAUCUUGGAGGAUGUGGACGGUGAGCUGGAAAUGGAAGAUGUUUCAGUUCACCUAAAGGAUGAAAGACCUGUAUUAUUGAACAGUCCUUCUGAAAUGGAUUCUCAACUUCAGGGCUUAGAUAGGAUUUUGGAUCCAGCUUCAGACAUUUCUGCCGAGAUACCUGAUAUUCUUGAGGGUUCUCCUCCAUUGCCACUUGGUUCACCCCCUUCUCUCCCGCCUUUGCCUUCUUCACCUCCACCACCACUACCUCCAUUAUCUCCAUCGCCUCCCCCUCCCCCACCACCCCAAGUGUUGCAACACCCACCUCCUCCUUUGCCAGCCCCAGGCCCUCCACCUUCACUGAUUCCUCAAUCAUCUGGACCUGUUCAGCCUCCACUUUUAUCCCAGACAUUAGUUCCACCUCAAUCAUUGCAUCAGUCAUCACCAUUGUCAGGGUAUCAGCAGAGUGUACCUCAUGAUUUUAGUGGCUCAACUAAUGGCAACCAAAUAGUUCAAGUGGCUGUAAAUUCUUUUCCUGGAGGUCACAAUAGUUCAGUGGUCAAGAAUGAAAUAUUGCAACAACCAUCUGCUUGCUUUACUCCAAUGGCAGGCUGCAACUCUCAGGAACCUUCUGGUUUUAACCCUCCAAGGCAGUUGGAAUAUGGACAAAAGGAUAUGUAUCUAAAUUCUCAAGGUCCUCAACCUAAUCUGCAAUUUCAGCCGGUUAACCCAUCAUUUGCUCCAAGGCACAUGCAUCCUGCCCCACCCCAAAAUCCAUCCAAUCAAUAUUCUUAUCCAAAGCCUACAAUUCAGCAGCAGCUUCCACAUUCUUUCCAUCCUCCAUUCUCAUUGCCAUCACUUCCAGAUGGCCAGAGGCAAUUUGUUGCUAAUGAGCAAUGGAGGAUGUCAACAAGUGAAUUUAAAACAAACCAUCAACAGGGUCUAAGGAUAGGGAGAAAUCCUUCAUACCCUGGUACUCCCUUUGCACAGGAAGGUUAUUUUCGGCCACCACUUGAAAGACCACCAAUAAACAAUGUAGGUUUCCAGCAUGCAAACCCUAGCAGCAUGCCUGCUCCUCCUAUGACAGGACAUGGUGUUCCUCAAAUGUUGUCUUGUAGGCCAGAUAUUCCUGCACUUAGUUGUUGGAGGCCUACUUGAUGCUGAUAGAAAUAUUUUCCAUUUCAUCUGAACAAUUGGUGGUGCUGUCGCUGGUUGAUCAACUAUCAAGGUUACACAUUGUGGUUUGAAGUUAGAUUCUCUUGUCCCCAAUUUUUUUUGAAAACUUGUGGAGGCUUUUGGCAGGACUGUGUACAUUAUAAUUUUUCCUGACAAUGUAUCCCAAGAACAUUUGCUUCCAAGUUUAGGCCCUUGUUUCUGACUUGGUUUUUGCGUAAGCAAAUACGGAGUUCCUUAUUACUUUCUCAUGUUUUCAAAGUGGUUACUGAACAAAUAAUAAGUCAUUUUCCAUCAGAGAAAACACAAUAUUGUGGCCUAUGUCACGUGAUCAAUUCAUUAUUUCAAGUCACAUUGCUUUAUUAUCGUAGUAUCUCAUUGCGAGGGAAGAUAGGAGUGUUAGUAUCUGAUUGUCGAACAUCAUCUCAAAAUUGCAAGAGGGCUUCCUUAUAUUUGAAGAAUGAUUUCUAAACUUCAAGAAAGAAAGCCUGAGGAUUAUUAGUCUCUUUUGGCAAAAUCUCGUCUUUUUCCUAGGCAUAUUUGAAAUUGAAUGCGAGCAUUGGCUCCCGGUGGUACGGGUUUUUUUUGGAAGGCGACAAUUUUAUUAAAUAAAGUCAAUUGCGCACAAGAAGUGCCAAUUGAGAUAAGUACAAUAAUAUCAUUGAAUCCACGUUCAAGUUCAAGGUAGAAGCUAACAGAGCAACAGAGUUAAUCUAUAUGUUUGUUACAAUACUGCAAUUUGCUGUGAGUGGAUCUAUGUAUUUACUAUGAUUUUAUAAUCUGUCACAGAGGGAGACUCUCGUUAUUCUUUGUAGU